rnacentral:rRNA from 1 species
UACGGGAGGGGCAAGCGUUGUUCGGAAUUACUGGGCGUAAAGGGCUCGUAGGCGGUUUGUCGCGUCGGGAGUGAAAACACCGGGCUUAACUCGGUGCUUGCUUUCGAUACGGGCAGACUAGAGGUAUGCAGGGGAGAACGGAAUUCCUGGUGUAGCGGUGAAAUGCGCAGAUAUCAGGAGGAACACCGGUGGCGAAGGCGGUUCUCUGGGCAUUACCUGACGCUGAGGAGCGAAAGUGUGGGGAGCGAACAGG